rnacentral:sRNA from 1 species
AGCCUAUUUUCUUAAACCAUUUUCAACGGAAGUUUCUUAAAUCCAGCCACUUUGUGAAAUAAAUCUUGGAGUUGAGAUUUAUUUACAUUUGCUGCCACUGAUAUUUAAUAAUUGUUUUUGAUAAUUAGAAAGAAAAUCUUCUAAUUAAAUAUUUGACAUUUAAUAAUCUUCCCAAAAUCUUUCUACCUUAACUACACAAUUAAUUACUAAAAUAAAACUUCCAAAAUAUUUAAUAUCAUUUAAUUACUACAAAAUUAUCAUUUUUGAUAUUUUUGCUUUUCGGCAUGACUAUAACAAUUCAAUUAUAAUCAUCAAACCGCAGAGAUAUUUGAUAGCAUUUAAUUACCACAAAAUUACAAAAUAUUUAGACAAUAAUUCAUAAACAUAUCAUAAAUAAGAUCAACAUUAAUAAAAUAAAUAGUUUUUUUACGGGACGGGUUGACGGGACGGGUUUGGCAGGAUGUUAUUUAAUAACAAUUGUAAACUAUAAAAUAAAAAUAUUUUAUAGAUAGAUACAAUUUGCAAACUUUUAUGUAUACUAACUUUAAAAAAUAAAUUAUUUCUGCGGUGUACCGCGGGUUAAAAUCUAGUGAGUUUUUAAAAUAGAAUCAAGUGUAAAUAUAGAUAAAU